GACGAACGUUGGCGGCGUGCUUAACACAUGCAAGUCGAACGGAAAGGCCCUGCUUUUGUGGGGUGCUCGAGUGGCGAACGGGUGAGUAACACGUGAGUAACCUGCCCUUGACUUUGGGAUAACUUCAGGAAACUGGGGCUAAUACCGGAUAGGAGCUCCUGCUGCAUGGUGGAGGUUGGAAAGUUUCGGCGGUUGGGGAUGGACUCGCGGCUUAUCAGCUUGUUGGUGGGGUAGUGGCUUACCAAGGCUUUGACGGGUAGCCGGCCUGAGAGGGUGACCGGCCACAUUGGGACUGAGAUACGGCCCAGACUCCUACGGGAGGCAGCAGUGGGGAAUAUUGCACAAUGGGCGGAAGCCUGAUGCAGCAACGCCGCGUGCGGGAUGACGGCCUUCGGGUUGUAAACCGCUUUCGCCUGUGACGAAGCGUGAGUGACGGUAAUGGGUAAAGAAGCACCGGCUAACUACGUG
rnacentral:rRNA from 1 species